UUCGUGCGGCACACUUAUGUGGCGAGUUCCACGUCAUCCGCGUGAGAAGUUAUAAGCCGUCAAACUUCUCCUCGCGCGAUUCUUCACCACGAAACCUAGCCACUCCUCCCUCUCCGAAUCGCCGAACGCGCCUCCCUCUCCGAAUCGCCGAAGCGCCCCUCUCGCCGCAAAUGCGCCUCUCUCUCGCUGAAGCUACGGGACCAGACGUACGACUCUCUCUCGCAGCGAGCCCUUUUCUACCGUGAGCUCUCCCUCGCCGUGAGCUCUCCAAAUCGCCCAUCACCCAUCCCUCUUGCGCCGAAGCUGGAUCUACGACUCUCUCUCUAGCCAAAGCGCCCCUCUCGCCGCAAGAACGCCUCUCUCGCUCUGAGCUCUCCUACGGCGAGCUCUCUCUCACUAGAUCUAGGGUUUCUCACUCUGCAACCUCACUUCGCCGACAAACUCCUUCAUUGGUAAAAGCUCGUAUACUUUGGCGAAAAAUGAUGUUUCUUUAGAGUGACCUCAGUUGCAACUUUGAGAUUUACCUUCCGGCUUUUAUAUUUUCUAGCCUCGUCUAAACCUUCCGGCUUUUAUAUUUUCUUGUAAAACAGAUCUUGCAAUUUUUCUUUUGAACAUCAAAUUCAAGUGGCCCUGCAGCCUCUUCGAUCUGUAGUUUAUUAACUUUUAGAUGUUUGAACAUAGCCUUAUGCAUUAUUUUACUAUUUCUUUCCUGAGAAUUUGCUUAUGUUUAUCAGAAUCACUUCUGUUUUAUAUCGGCAGAAAAGGAAGAUGAAUUUCACUAGUUUUCUGGAAAUGUGUUUCAUUUAGUCUACUCACUUUAUUGAAUAUGCUUUGUGAUAAAUAGAGUACCAUUUACAAUAGUCUAAUGAAUGUAGAAUUACUUCAACCAUGGAAGGAAGCUCCUCUGGAGGGAGGGAGUCAACUUUAACUUUGAUGGUGAGGAAUAUUUGUGGGUGUUAUCUUACAAACUUUGCAUUUACAUCUGUCAAGAACCCAAUGCAGGCUUUUGUCUCUCAUUUUUCUCCUAUUUUAAGUUAUUUACUGGUUCGAUCAAAUUGAUCUAUUACGUUGAAUGAGUGAUUCCAGCCAUUGAAUUUUGACUUGGUUCACAGAACAUGGCGCUUCAUUCUCCUCGAUGUGUAAUUUAAAUUCUUUAGACAUUCAUAGCAUAUUCUUUGUGUGUGAGUGCAACAUGAAAUUUUGCUUAGCUCAUUUUUAAAAUCAGUUCUCAAAAGCUUGUGUUUGAACUGCUUAAUGUUGGAAAAUUUUGGCAAUUUAAAUUUAUAAGAAUUUACAAAUUUUGAAUUUUGAUAAUUUACUAGCAUCAAUUAUCUCAAACAAACAUAUUAUUAUGAGAUAAUAGUGGAAAUGCAUUAACGUGAGAUUUGUUUCGUGGAGAAUAAUCGCGAGGAGAGGUUUGACGUGAUUCUGCAUUCACGGUGAUAUCAACAUCUCACGCGGAUAGUCCACUGGGAUGCAGAUGGUGAGAAGCCACUGGAGCUCAAUAGGAUUCUUAGACCUGGAGGUUUCUUUGUUUGGUCUACAACACAUGUUUACUGCUAAUGAGAGGGACCAAAGCAUCUGGAAGUGUAGUGACAUUUGUCAAUUUCUUUAAAUUUCAUGACCUCCUUUGUCAUCAGCAAGACUACGUGGCUUUCGGGAGCUAGACUAUCUUAAAUUUUUAUCUAGCACCCUUUUAAAUUUUUUUCUGGAUCCGCUACUGACAUUGACUACUUGACGCAAACUUGGUUUGUAAAUGGUUAAAUGUUGUAAUUCUAGAUGUAAACUUGGUUUGUUAAUUUAUAUCAUUAAACACUGUUGAAUAA